rnacentral:rRNA from 1 species
GAUGAACGCUGGCGGCGUGCCUAAUACGUGCAAGUCGAGCGAACAGACGAGGAGCUUGCUCCUCUGACGUUAGCGGCGGACGGGUGAGUAACACGUGGAUAACCUACCUAUAAGACUGGGAUAACUUCGGGAAACCGGAGCUAAUACCGGAUAAUAUAUUGAACCGCAUGGUUCAAUAGUGAAAGACGGUUUUGCUGUCACUUAUAGAUGGAUCCGCGCCGCAUUAGCUAGUUGGUAAGGUAACGGCUUACCAAGGCAACGAUGCGUAGCCGACCUGAGAGGGUGAUCGGCCACACUGGAACUGAGAUACGGUCCAGACUCCUACGGGAGGCAGCAGUAGGGAAUCUUCCGCAAUGGGCGAAAGCCUGACGGAGCAACGCCGCGUGAGUGAUGAAGGUCUUCGGAUCGUAAAACUCUGUUAUUAGGGAAGAACAAAUGUGUAAGUAACUAUGCACGUCUUGACGGUACCUAAUCAGAAAGCCACGGCUAACUACGUG